GAAAGCAGGGGAUCGCAAGACCUUGCGCUUUUGGAGUGGCCGAUGCCUGAUUAGCUAGUUGGUGGGGUAAUGGCCUACCAAGGCGACGAUCAGUAGUUGGUCUGAGAGGACGACCAGCCACACUGGGACUGAGACACGGCCCAGACUCCUACGGGAGGCAGCAGUGGGGAAUUUUGGACAAUGGGCGAAAGCCUGAUCCAGCAAUGCCGCGUGAGUGAAGAAGGCCUUCGGGUUGUAAAGCUCUUUCAGUCGAGAAGAAAAGGUUGUGACUAAUAAUCACAGCUCAUGACGGUAUCGACAGAAGAAGCACCGGCUAACUACGUGCCAGCAGCCGCGGUAAUACGUAGGGUGCGAGCGUUAAUCGGAAUUACUGGGCGUAAAGGGUGUGCAGGCGGCUUUGUAAGUCAG
rnacentral:rRNA from 1 species